rnacentral:rRNA from 1 species
GUUUGGUUAAGUUAGAAAGGGCGCACGGUGGAUGCCUUGACACUAGGAGUCGAUGAAGGACGGGACUAACGCCGAUAUGCUUCGGGGAGCUGUAAGUAAGCUUUGAUCCGAAGAUUUCCGAAUGGGGAAACCCACCAUACGUAAUGGUAUGGUAUCCUUACCUGAAUACAUAGGGUAAGGAAGACAGACCCAGGGAACUGAAACAUCUAAGUACCUGGAGGAAGAGAAAGCAAAUGCGAUUUCCUGAGUAGCGGCGAGCGAAACGGAAUCUAGCCCAAACCAAGAGGCUUGCCUCUUGGGGUUGUAGGACAUUCUAUACGGAGUUACAAAGGAACGAGGUAGACGAAGCAGCCUGGAAAGGCUCGUCA